rnacentral:rRNA from 1 species
GAAUAUUGGUCAAUGGUGGGAACACUGAACCAGCUAUCCCGCGUGCAGGAUGAAGGCCCUCUGGGUUGUAAACUGCUUUUACCAGGGAAGAAACGUGUGGAUUUAUCUGCACCUGACGGUACCUGGGGAAUAAGCAGCGGCUAAGUCCGUGCCAGCAGCCGCGGUAAUACGGAGGGUGCAAGCGUUAUCCGGAAUCACUGGGUUUAAAGGGUGCGUAGGCGGCUUGAUAAGUCAGAGGUGAAAGCUCACGGCUCAACCGUGGAAUUGCCUUUGAUACUGUCAGGCUUGAAUUAGGUUGAGGCAAGCGGAAUGUGACAUGUAGCGGUGAAAUGCUUAGAUAUGUCAUAGAACACCGAUUGCGAAGGCAGCUUGCCAAGCCUUGAUUGACGCUGAGGCACGAAAGCGUGGGGAGCGAACAGG